rnacentral:rRNA from 1 species
GAUGAACGCUGGCGGCGUGCUUAACACAUGCAAGUCGAACGAUUAAAGCCCCUUCGGGGGUGUAUAGAGUGGCGAACGGGUGAGUAACACGUGGGCAACCUGCCCUGCGCUUCGGGAUAACUCAGGGAAACUUGAGCUAAUACCGGAUACUCCGGACUGACCGCAUGAUCGGUCCGGGAAAGUUCCGGCGGCGCAGGAUGGGCCCGCGGCCCAUUAGCUAGUUGGUGAGGUAAUGGCUCACCAAGGCGACGAUGGGUAACCGGUCUGAGAGGGCGAACGGUCACACUGGAACUGAGACACGGUCCAGACUCCUACGGGAGGCAGCAGUGGGGAAUAUUGCGCGAUGGGCGAAAGCCUGACGCAGCAACGCCGCGUGCGGGAUGAAGGCCUUCGGGUUGUAAACCGCUUUCAGCAGGGACGAAAUUGACGGUACCUGCAGAAGAAGCCCCGGCUAAAUACGUGCCAGCCGCCGCCGUAAUAC